CGCCCAACAGCUAGCCCACCUAAACAAUUUCAACAAGCCCCUGUUAAUAACCCCUAAAUACCCCAGUAUUUAAAUUAAACAAACCAUUUUUCCCCCUUAGUAUAGGCGAUAGAAAAGGGACUACGGCGCAAUAGAGAAAGUACCGCAAGGGAAUGCUGAAAGAGAAGUGAAAUAACCCAGUAAAGCCUAAAAAAGCAGAGAUUUAAACUCGUACCUUUUGCAUCAUGAUUUAGCGAGUGUACCCCAAGCAAAGAGAACUUUAGUUUGACGUCCCGAAACUACGUGAGCUACUCCAAGACAGCCUAUUAAUAGGGCGUACCCGUCUCUGUGGCAAAAGAGUGGGGAGAGCUUUGAGUAGAGGUGAUAAACCUACCGAACCUAGUUAUAGCUGGUUGUCCAAGAAAUGAAUAGAAGUUCAGCCUCUUGGCUUCUCUUUUCACCCUAGUUUAACCCCUAUUGAUGCAUUAAAGAAACCGAGAGAGUUAGUCAAAGGGGGUACAGCCCCUUUGAAUCAAGACACAACUUUACCAGGAGGGUAAAGAUCAUA
rnacentral:rRNA from 1 species